CCUACGGGUGGCAGCAGUGAGGAAUAUUGGUCAAUGGGCGCGAGCCUGAUCCAGCCAAGUAGCGUGAAGGAUGACUGCCCUACGGGUUGUAAACUUCUUUUAUAAAGGAAUAAAGUGAAGCACGUGUGCCAUUUUGCAUGUACUUUAUGAAUAAGGAUCGGCUAACUCCGUGCCAGCAGCCGCGGUAAUACGGAGGAUCCGAACGUUAUCCGGAUUUAUUGGGUUUCAAGGGAGAGUAGAUGGGUUGUUAAGUCAGUUGUGAAAGUUGGCGGCUCAACCGUAAAAUUGCAAUUGAUACUGUCAGUCUUGAGUACAGUUGAGGUAGGCGGAAUUCGUGGUGUAGCGGUGAAAUGCUUAGAUAUCACGAAGAACUCCGAUUGCGAAGGCAGCUUACUAAACUGCCACUGACAUUGAGGCUCGAAAGUGUGGGUAUCAAACAGGAUUAGAUACCCGUGUAGUC
rnacentral:rRNA from 1 species